AUUGAACGCUGGCGGCAGGCCUAACACAUGCAAGUCGAACGGUAACAGGAAGCAGCUUGCUGCUUCGCUGACGAGGGGCGGACGGGUGAGUAAUGUCUGGGAAACUGCCUGAUGGAGGGGGAAAACUACGGGAAACGGUAGCUAAUACCGCAUAACGUCGCAAGACCAAAGAGGGGGACCUUAGGGCCUCUUGCCAUCGGAUGUGCCCAGAUGGGAUUAGCUAGUAGGUGGGGGAACGGCUCACCUAGGCGACGAUCCCUAGCGGGUCUGAGAGGAUGACCGGCCACACUGGAACUGAGACACGGUCCAGACUCCUACGGGAGGCAGCAGUGGGGAAUCUUGCACAAUGGGCGCAAGCCUGAUGCAGCCAUGCCGCGUGUAUGAAGAAGGCCUUCGGGUUGUAAAGUACUUUCAGCGGGGAGGAAGGGAGUAAAGUUAAUCCCUUCGCUCAUUGACGUUACCCGCAGAAGAAGCCCCGGCUAACUCCGUG
rnacentral:rRNA from 1 species